ensembl:snRNA U4 U4 spliceosomal RNA
AGCUUUGUGCAGUGGCGGUAUCAUAGCCAAUGAGGUAUAUCCGAGGCACGAUUAUUGCUAAUUGAAAACUUUUCCCGGUACCCGACAAUGACAACUUGAAAUGUAGUUGGCAUUGGCAAUUUUUGACAGUCUCUAUGGAGA